UCCUCGGUCGGUCCUAGUUGGGAGAGCGUCAGACUGAAGAUCUGGAGCUCCUCAGUUCGAUCCUGGGUCUGGGCA